rnacentral:rRNA from 1 species
UCGAGGAUCUUCGUCAAUGGGCGCAAGCCUGAACGAGCGAUGCCGCGUGAGCGAUGAAGGCCUUCGGGUUGUAAAGCUCAAAAGAGAUGAGAAAGGGAAACUUGAUCGAAUCUCAGUAAGCUCGGGCUAAGUUCGUGCCAGCAGCCGCGGUAAGACGAACCGAGCGAACGUUGUUCGGAAUCACUGGGCUUAAAGGGCGCGUAGGCGGGUAUUCAAGUCCGUGGUGAAAUCCUCCGGCUCAACCGGAGAACUGCCUCGGAUACUGGAUGUCUCGAGGGUGGCAGGGGUAUGCGGAACUAUCGGUGGAGCGGUGAAAUGCGUUGAUAUCGAUAGGAACUCCGGUGGCGAAGGCGGCAUACUGGUCCACUGCUGACGCUGAGGCGCGAAAGCCAGGGGAGCAAACGG